CCUACGGGGAGCAGCAGUGGGGGAUAUUGCACAAUGGGGGGAACCCUGAUGCAGCGACGCCGCGUGUGGGAAGACGGUCCUCUGGAUUGUAAACCACUGUCCCCAGGGACGAAAAUGACGGUACCUGGGGCGGAAGCUCCGGCUAACUACGUGGCAGCAGCCGCGGUAAUACGUAGGGAGCGAGCGUUGUCCGGAAUUACUGGGUGAAAAGGGAGCGUAGGCGGGGAUGCAAGUUGGGUGUCAAAACUACCGGCUCAACUGGUAGUCGCACUUAAAACUGCAGCUCUUGAGUGAAGGAGAGGCAGGCGGAAUUCCUAGUGUAGCGGUGAAAUGCGUAGAUAUUAGGAGGAACUCCAGUGGCGAAGGCGGCCUGCUGGGCUUUUACUGACGCUGAGGCUCGAAAGUGUGGGGAGCAAACAGGAUUAGAUACCCGAGUAGUC
rnacentral:rRNA from 1 species